UAGGGUUUCUAAGGUCGCUUCA
rnacentral:siRNA from 1 species